UGCCAGGUCCGCAGUUUACCCGGAAUUUUAUUUUCUGCCUUGGGUGAUUUCUUUUUCGUUCGCGGGUUAAAUGGACCUAUUUCAGUGUCAAGUAAAUUAAUCAUUUAAUUAAACCCUGCCUGUAAGCGCAACAGUCACUGCUGCCGGUCGGCCCGCAGUUGCAACAAGGGACACUUACUACAUCAUCGAAGACAAACAGAAGCACAGCUCCAGCAACCUCAACGAGGAAAAGAAUCAGCACAAUGCUGAAGAACUGAAUGGAGAGAAAGGGAUAGAUGACUGUAAGACUCACUGUGUUGGUAAACUUCAAUCUCAACAACAGAGUGAGAAAAUGCCAGGAAACUGGACCUUCACAGGUGUUAAUGUGUUCAGCUCAUGAGCUGGAGUUGAAUUGUCAAACAUCACUCACUGCCAGCAGCAUACAUCUGCUCUCCCUCACGGCUCCACAGCAGCCCAGGAAGCCGAUGAUCAGCAGCACAGCACCCACCCCAAUGAGUAGGUAGCUGACGUAGACGAGAACGGACAACCCAGAUGGAGCAUCCUCCACGCUACUAAGUAUACCCAGCAGAGAAUCGCUGUCCACCUUCACCCACACCCCAAUGCCAAGGAUGGCUCCACCAGCCAACUGCAUGAUGGGUUAAGAAAGGAUAAAAAGAAACAAUGCAUUAAAGCAUGAAGACAUAGUAUUAAAAAAUGAUGUCCUAACAAAGGGGAAAUUAAAAGACAUUCUAAAAUUCAUGGUAACUUAUAACCUAUAAAGUUAAGUUGUACAAUGAGGGAAUUUGUGCUGUUUUUUCAAAAUUACUUUCCCUGUGAUGACAGCUCCAUAACAUUGAGAGUAAAUUAGUAAUGUUGUGGGUUUUUUUUCAAGAUUUCUGCAACAAUUUUAGAGAACGCUUCAUUGCUUUGGUGCUGUUCAUUUGUUGCAAAGAUUGGCACCAACCUCAUGACUGAAUGCUUAAAGCUACUGGCAAGGUUCUUGAGUGUCAUUUUGGUGUCCCCCACUCUGGGCAAACAUCUUAUCACUUUGAUGAUCUUUUUGAUCAGGUACAGUUUAAUGUACCUGCCUAGAUGACAAAAAGUAAGGCUCUUUUUAACAGUCAAAUGUGUCACUUAUUGGUGUUGAUAAUGUUUUCUGUAGCAGCUGUCAAUUGUCUGGUAUGAUACCUACCCACUCACAGCAGCUUCAGUCUUUAGAAAUUACAAUAUAGAAGUUGUCAACUUUAUUGCUGUUUUCAACUGGCUGCAAACUCCUCCCUAAAGCUUUAAUAAAAAGCUAUGAACAGAUGCCAUUUAGCCUUGCCUAGCACAAACACCUGACCUUGCUAUGUAUAACUAUGACAAUAAACAUCUGCGAACACCUCUUAAGCUCCAAAAAUAGAAAAUGAUAACUCAUUUGGUUAUUUGUACAACACCUUAAGUUUAAAAAGGUUAAGUUGUUCUUUUUUCUUUUCUUUGCUGGGAGCAGUGAUUAUGUUGAGGUUUAAAGCAAAAACUGUAUUACUGGAUGCUUGAUAAGCUUAAGCCUUUUUGUGCAAGUUGCCCACUACAGUGCAAAGAUAUUUGAAAGCCAUUUUGAACUUUAAGCCUGCAGUAUCAUAUCACAAACAAGAGGUAGCCUUUAACCAUGCAAAGCUAGGCUAACCAUCCGGUAGCUGUAGCUUCAUCUUUAGCAUACAUUGUUUCUAUUACUGAAACAAUGUUCAGCUACAGAGGAACGUUAUCCAAAGCCAAAGGGAAUAGCUCUCAUUGUGACAUUUUACUGACUUAAAUGUGUGUUGUCCAGUCUGUUUUCAUGUGGCACCUGGCCCACAAUGCUGGACAGCAGACACAGAAAAGUUUAAGUUUCUUUUUUCUACUUACAAAGAUGGCGCCGUUGAAGACGAACAUCAUAAUCUUGAGAAAGCCGGAGCAACACAUCUUGGCAGUUUUUUUCUUUUCCUUCUGUUAAAUAAAGAAAGGGGUUAGUUAGUUAGUUCAGCCUCUAACUACAUGAUAAAAUAAAAGUCAACACUUCCUUUUUGUUGCUCCUGGGAUUUUGAAUACAUUCGUUUCAUUGCAAUUAUAGGAAAACAAGCUGUACGCAUGAGGAUGGCUUUAAACAAAAGCAAGCACCAACACGGGUCAAAUGGCAUGUGCUUUGGUUAUACAUUAACCACAGUAACUGGUAGGGGAAAACACAAGGGGUCUUACUCUGCUUUGAAUAUGCUAGGCCUACACGCUGUCCUUGUCUAAGGUUUUGGUUCAUGUGUGAAAUAAGUUGUACGUUCACAUCCACGCUUUAUUUUCUUUUGCUUCGCCUGCAAGUUAUUUAGAGGAUUAUCAAGCACACAUUCAUGUCACAUGAUGUGUUUUAAAGACUUCCUCUUUACGAAACAAGGUUCUAUGUGGUACACAGGAGUACAAUUGACUUCCCCAGGCUCUGAACUGCUUCAUGUUCUGACUGUGUGUACAUGUAACAGUACUAUUAGCUAUAAAUCUGAGUUUUAAUGUGACUCCAUGUGAUUGUUAGCUAGAUCUGUUUCAAUUGUGACAUAAAUAAUUAUGAGAUGUAAGUGAAAAGGUGUCAUAGAAGUAGGUUAAAGCUAUGUAAUUUCAAUCUGUCUGGAAUUAAUCAGAUGCCCCUGUUUUGUUUAUGAUGAAUAAGUCAUAAAUAUCUUAUCAACUUAUUGGUAGUUACGCUGCAAGUAACCCGGAACCCCAUAAAAAAAUAAACACAGUGACGCUUUUCCCCCACCUUGCA